ACGUUACCACAGGGAUAACUGGCUUGUGGCAGCCAAGCGUCCAUAGCGACGUUGCUUUUUGAUUCUUCGAUGUCGGCUCUUCCUAUCAUUGCGAAGUAGAACUCGGCCAAUUGUUGGAUUGUUCACCCACUAAUAGGGAACGUGAGCUGGGUUUAGACCGUCGUGAGACAGGUUAGUUUUACCCUACUGAUGAGUUCGUUGUCUAAACAGUAAUCCAACCCAGUACGAGAGGAACCGUUGGUUCAGAUAAUUGGUAACUGCGGUUAGCUGAAAAGCUAGUGCCGCCAAGCUACCAUCUGUAGGAUUAUGGCUGAACGCCUCUAAGUCAGAAUCCAUGCUGGAAUAGACGAUAAUCACCUUUCCCGAUGUGCCGCGAAUAGCGAUAGGUGUCUUCUGGACACCCAACAUCAUACAAUUGCAACGCACUUCGCUGCCUGUCAAGUACUGGCGGUGGAGAGUAGGCUGAUUUGUAAUUUCAAAUAUUGGGAAAGAUAAAUCCUUUGUAGACGACUUAACUACAGAACGGGGUGUUGUAAGCAUGAGAGUAGUCUUGUACUACGAUCUGCUGAGAUUUAGCCCUUGUUCUAUUGAUUUGUUCAGAAAUGAACAUUUCUCCCCCCAAUUGCAAACGCGCAAUGUUAAAACUAUAAAGUUAAGCAGUCGAAAUAAGGCUGCGUAAAAGUGAUUUACUUUCGCUAUGGGGCGGCGAAAGUAACCGGUCAAAGUGCUGGUAGAGAGUUAAUACUGUUAAGCUUAAGAUCGUCAAAGUCUUUGUUUUGGCUUAGUGAGGUUUGUUCGCAAAAAUCGCUAAGUGCCGCUGCUAUUGUUUUCCGAGCCAAAUUCGGCGACCUUAGUAUCGGGUUUAUAACAGGCAGAAAGCGAGAAACACUUUGCGUGAAAAUCGCUAAGUGCCAGCGCUAAUGAUUUCUGAGCCAAAAUCGGAGAUUUUAGUAUGGGGGUUUAACAGGGCAAGCUAGACGGCAGGGCGUAAAAUUAGACUUGGUUUAAGUAUGUUAAAAGAGAGCGAAUAGCGUGAAUUAGACUUGGUUUAACUAUGUUAAAGAGAGCGGAAUAGCAUGAAUUAGACUUGGUUUAAGUAUGUUAAAGAGAGCGGAAUAGCAUGAAAUAGACUUGGUUUAACUAUGUUAAAAGAGAGCGAAAUAGCAUGAAAUAGACUUGGUUUAACUAUGUAAAGAGAGCGGAAUAGCAUGAAAUAGACUUGGUUNNNNNNNNNNNNNNNNNNNNNNNNNNNNNNNNNNNNNNNNNNNNNNNNNNNNNNNNNNNNNNNNNNNNNNNNNNNNNNNNNNNNNNNNNNNNNNNNNNNNAGCGGACAAGGGGAAUCCGGACUGUUUUAUUUAAAACAAAGCAUUGUGAUGGCCCGAAGACGGUGUUGACACAAUGUGAUUUCUGCCCAGUGCUCUGAAUGUCAUAGUGAAGAGAUUCAACCAAGCGCGGGUAAACGGCGGGAGUAACUAUGACUCUCUUAAGGUAGCCAAAUGCCUCGUCAUCUAACUAGUGACGCGCAUGAAUGGAUUAAUGAGAUUCCCACUGUCCCUAUCUACUGUCUAGCGAACCCACAGCCAAGGGAACGGGCUUGGAAUAAUCAGCGGGGAAAGAAGACCCUGUUGAGCUUGACUCUAGUCUGACGUUGUGAAAUGACUUGGGAGGUGUAGAAUAAGUGGGAGGCUCUGCCGUCUGUGAAAUACCACUACUCUCAAUGUUGUUUUACUUAUACCAUGAUGUAGCAUCUGUGUGGCCUCGCGGUCGCUCAGUUCUAGUUGUAAACUUGGGCUUUUGCCUGGGUGAGCUACGUGGAAGACAUCGUCAGGUGGGGAGUUUGGCUGGGGCGGCACAUCUGUUAAAUGAUAACACAGGUGUCCUAAGGUGAGCUCAAUGAGAACAGAAAUCUCAUGUAGAACAAAAGGGUAAAAGCUCACUUGAUUUUGAUUUUCAGUAUGAAUACAAACCGUGAAAGCGUGGCCUAUCGAUCCUUUAGUUCUUUUGAAUUUUAAGCUAGAGGUGUCAGAAAAGUUACCACAGGGAUAACUGGCUUGUGGCAGCCAAGCGUCCAUAGCGACGUUGCUUUUUGAUUCUUCGAUGUCGGCUCUUCCUAUCAUUGCGAAGUAGAACUCGCCAAUUGUUGGAUUGUUCACCCACUAAUAGGGAACGUGAGCUGGGUUUAGACCGUCGUGAGACAGGUUAGUUUUACCCUACUGAUGAGUUCGUUGUCUAAACAGUAAUCCAACCCAGUACGAGAGGAACCGUUGGUUCAGAUAAUUGGUAACUGCGGUUAGCUGAAAAGCUAGUGCCGCCAAGCUACCAUCUGUAGGAUUAUGGCUGAACGCCUCUAAGUCAGAAUCCAUGCUGGAAUAGACGAUAAUCACCUUUCCCGAUGUGCCGCGAAUAGCGAUAGGUGUCUUCUGGACACCCAACAUCAUACAAUUGCAACGCACUCCGCUGCCUGUCAAGUACUGGCGGUGGAGAGUAGGCUGAUUUGU
rnacentral:rRNA from 1 species